GCGCGCGCAUCUCUCUCUCUCACACACACACACAUACAAGGAGACAGAGAAGGCCCGCCUCGCAUUGGCCAAAAGGGGGCGGACUUCCCUUCGCUUCGCGCGGCGCAGUGAAAAAGGAGAGGAAGAGGGAAGGGAAUCUGGAAGGAAGUGGGGAGGGUCUGUCCUGUCAGGAAGGAGAGGAAGUAAACAAAACGAGACAGAUAGGGGCGGAGGGAGGGGGAAAAAUGUGGGAUGACAAAGCAAGGCGAGAUUGUGAACGUAAAUGGGCCGGCGUGGGUUCUCUACAUCCCAUUCAAGCCGCCUCAAGUGGCCAAUGGUUUGUAACCUUCACUUGGGAUAUUAAGUGAAAGAAGUAAGUCCAGGAACACAUCUGCUUUCUUAACUGAGAUAUACUUGUGAACAUGCUAAAAAUAGGUGCUGUUGUGAUAUGCAAAUGUACAACAAUGCAUUUAUUUAAGAAAAAUACAGAGAUGAAGGAAACCCUUGAUAUGGUCACAAGUGACAAGUCAAAUUUCCCUAAAAUUUGUGAUUGUCUCAAAGUAUAAUGCAUAUUUGAAGGCCAUGUUUAAUUCACAAGAUUGAUAUAAUUUAUAAAGCAUUUAAAAGGUU